AAAUAAUGUCUUGUUAGAAAAUACUGUUUAGUGUAUAUGGAUUGAAUUAUUAAAAUGAUUUUUAAAGUUUGAUGUUUAAGUAUAAAUGAAUUGAAAUAUAUUAAGUUAGGCUAUAGUAAAAAGUACCGUAAGGGAAAGAUGAAAUAAAAAAUGAAAAGUUAAUUAGUGAAAAGUAAAAGUAAAACUUUGUACCUUGUGUAUCAGGGAAAAUUAAACUUCUUUUUAUAUAAAAGUAUCCCGAAAAAAAAGAGUUAAUGUAAAAUAAAAGUUUUCGUAUUAAUGAAAUUUUUAAUUUUAUGUUAGUGGUGAAAUGCCAGUCGUUUUUUUAUAUCUGGUUGUUAGAGAAUUAAAUUUAAUUUAGUUGUUAAUUUGGGUUAAAAAAUUAAUUAACACUAAAGAAUAGGAGGGAAGAGCUUCUUAUUCUAUAAUAAACUUAUUGUAAUAAAAAAAAUAGUAGAUUUUAGAAUUAGGCUUAAAAGCAGCAAAAUUAAUAAAGCGUUCUAGCUAAUAUAAUUUUUUUAGAAUAUUAUUUAUAUUUAUAAAGUUCAAUCUUGGUAUCUAAUAGUUUUAUUUAAUGUAAAAUUAAAAGUUAAAAUGAUUUUAUUAGUAGAAAUAGUUUGUGAGAUUAAAGAGUUAAAGUAAAAAUAAGUGUUUAUAGGUUAUUAAUUUAUAAUUAAGGAACUCGGCAAAUAUUGUUUUUGCCUGUUUAUCAAAAACAUGUCUAUAUGAUUGAUAUAUAAAGUCUAGCCUGCCCACUGAUUAUAAUUGAAGGGCCGCGGUAUUUUGACCGUGCGAAGGUAGCAUAAUCAUUAGUCUUUUAAUUGAGGGCUUGUAUGAAUGGUUGGACAAAAAAUAAGCUGUCUCAGUUAUAAAAAUUGAAUUUAACUUUUAAGUGAAAAGGCUUAAAUAAUUUAGGGGGACGAUAAGACCCUAUAAAGCUUUACAAUUAUUUAAUUAAAUUAUAAAUUGUUAGUAUAAACUUAAUUUAAUUGAUGUUUGUUUCGUUGGGGCGACGAGAAUAUAAUUUAGUAACUGUUCUUUUAUAGUUUGUUACAAUAAUUUUUGGUAAAAAAUUGAUCCUUUAUUAAAGAUUAAAAGAUUAAGUUACUUUAGGGAUAACAGCGUAAUCUUCCUUGAAAGUUCAUAUCGACAGGAAGGGUUGCGACCUCGAUGUUGAAUUAAGAUUUCUCUAUGGCGCAGCAGUUAUAGUGAGAAGGUCUGUUCGACCUUUAAAUUCUUACAUGAUUUGAGUUCAGACCGGCGUGAGCCAGGUCGGUUUCUAUCUCCUAAAAAUUUAAGGUCACUUUAGUACGAAAGGAUUGGGUGACUGAAAUAAUUUUUGAAGUAAAAGAUUAACUUUAAUU
rnacentral:rRNA from 1 species